GGGGUGUAUAGCUCAUUGGUACAGCAUUCGACUGUAGAUCGGAGGUCCCCGGUUAAACCGGGUAUCCCUU